rnacentral:ncRNA from 2 species
CGGGCGAAACAGGGGUGCUUCGCGGCAUGACCGCGAGGCUGAGAGAAACCCUUUGCACCCGACCCGGAUAAUACCGGCGUGGGAAGUUUCCGACUCCUCCAG